UGUUUGGAGAGUUUGAUUCUGGCUCAGAACGAACGCUGGCGGCAUGGAUUAGGCAUGCAAGUCGAACGGGUGCAGCAAUGCAUCAGUGGCGCAAGGGUGAGGAACGCGUGGGUGACCUGCCUUCAAGUUUGGAAUAGCUCCUGGAAACGGGAAUUAAUACCGGAUGUGAUCUUGACACUGCAUGGUGAUGAGAUUAAAGCAGCAAUGCGCUUGAAGAGGGGCCCGCGUCCCAUUAGGUAGUUGGUGAGGUAAAGGCCCACCAAGCCGAAGAUGGGUAGCUGGUCUGAGA
rnacentral:rRNA from 1 species